rnacentral:rRNA from 1 species
GACAGAGGGGGCAAGCGUUGCUCGGAAUUACUGGGCGUAAAGGGCGCGUAGGCGGAAUGGCAAGUCGGUCGUGAAAUCCUUCGGCUCAACCGAAGAACGUCGAUCGAAACUGCCGUUCUUGAGGAUUGCAGAGGAGACUGGAAUUCCCGGUGUAGCGGUGAAAUGCGCAGAUAUCGGGAGGAACACCAAUGGCGAAGGCAGCUCGCUGGGACGGUACUGACGCUGAGACGCGAAAGCGUGGGGAGCAAACAGG